CAGCCAUCCUACCCAAGCUUAGCAAGGCGGGCACUUCCGCCGAGGGCACUUCCGCCUGCGGUAAAGCGACUCCUGCGCAUCUCUGACGUCAGAGGACCGUCAGACAGGAAAUGGCUGGUUUUAGCUCGCUAAGCGGGUAAGUGUUCUCUUGGAAGACUCUUAUCAGGAAAAUGAGUCGGAUUAAGCAUGGAGUUGGCUCCAUGGAAAUGAAUCCUGGAGAGACGUGCCAAGGACACAGAAUGAGAUAUGCAGUGAGUGAGGAGAGACUUUCUGGAACAUUAAACCUACAGUCCUGGAGAAAUGGUCAUCAGUCAAGAGCACUGACUGCUCUUCCAGAGGUCCUGAGUUCAAAUCCCAGCAACGACAUUGUGGCUCAUGACCGUCUUGUAAUGGGAUUCGAUGCCCUCUUCUGGUAUGCGUGAAGCCAGGGAAAGUGUAAUCACAUACACUAAAUAAACAAAUAAAUCUUUAAAAAAAAAACCAAGAAAACCCAGACCAACAAUCCAGCAGUUGUUGGAAAGCUGUGACCCGUGGAGCCUAACACAGACAACGCUGUGGGUUGGAUCUCCAGCAGAAAAGCCAAUAUGAUGGCACAAGCCUGUAAUUCUAGAGCUUGAGAGGUAGAGGCAGGAGGAUCAGAAGUUCGAAGUUAUCCUUGGCUACAUGGUGCAUUUGAGGACAUCUUGGGAUACACAAGGCUAGCUCACAAAGGAGGAGGGGCCUGGCAAGUUGGCUAAAGGCACUUGCUGCUAGGCCUGUUCACCUCAGUGGAGCAAUCCUCAGGUCCCACAUGGUGAAGUGAAAGGACCAGCUCCAGAAUGCCUUGGCUGUGUGACCUCCCCUGCAAACAAGUGAAAAUGAAAUAAACAUUCAUUAUUUAAGACAGAAUACGGGGUUGGGGAUUUAGCUCAGUGGUAGAGCGCUUGCCUAGCAAGCACAAGGCCCUGGGUUUGGUCCCCAGCUCUGGAAGAAAAAAAAAAAAAAACUUAGAAUACGUGAAAACAUUGUGGAUAACCUAGGUAGGAUGCUGGUGGAGAUUGGAGCUGCCACAGUCUGUCCAUUGCCACUGCCAUACACCAGUAGCAUCUCUGUAAAAAUGCUGAUUACAUUCCUUUGCUUGUAUAAAAUCAGAGUUGGGAAACACUUAAUGUUCCCCCUCCUCAAA